UUACGGGAGGCAGCAGUGAGGAAUCAUUCGCAAUGGGCGAAAGCCCGACGGUGCGACGCCGCGUGAGGGAUGAAGGCCUUCGGGUCGUAAACCUCUGUCGGGAGUAGGGAAUGGCGGGAGCGCGAAUAUCGCUUCCGCGUGACUAAGGCUCCGGAGGAAGCCACGGCUAACUACGUGCCAGCAGCCGCGGUAAUACGUAGGUGGCGAGCGUUACUCGGAAUCACUGGGCAUAAAGGGCGUGUAGGCGGGUGCGUAAGUCCGGUGUAAAAGCCCCCGGCUCAACCGGGGAAAGCCAUCGGAUACUGCGUGUCUUGAGUGUGGGAGAGGAGAGUGGAACUCUUGGUGGAGCGGUGAAAUGCGUAGAUAUCAAGAGGAACGCCGGUGGCGAAAGCGACCCUCUGGCCCAUUACUGACGCUGAGGCGCGAAAGCCAGGGGAGCAAACGGGAUUAGAUACCCCAGUAGUCU
rnacentral:rRNA from 1 species